AAAAACGACUCUCGGCAACGGAUAUCUUGGCUCACGCAUCGAUGAAGAACGUAGCAAAAUGCGAUACUUGGUGUGAAUUGCAGAAUCCCGUGAACCAUCGAGUUUUUGAACGCAAGUUGCGCCCGAAGCCAUUCGGCCGAGGGCACAUCUGCCUGGGCGUCACG
rnacentral:rRNA from 1 species